AACGAACGCUGGCGGCAGGCCUAAUACAUGCAAGUCGAGCGCGCCCUUCGGGGUGAGCGGCGGACGGGUGAGUAACGCGUGGGAAUAUGCCCUUCUCUAAGGAAUAGCCUCUGGAAACGGAGAGUAAUACCUUAUACACCCUUUGGGGGAAAGAUUUAUCGAAGAAGGAUUAGCCCGCGUUAGAUUAGGUAGUUGGUGGGGUAAUGGCCUACCAAGCCUACGAUCUAUAGCUGGUUUGAGAGGAUGAUCAGCCACACUGGGACUGAGACACGGCCCAGACUCCUACGGGAGGCAGCAGUAGGGAAUCUUAGACAAUGGGGGCAACCCUGAUCUAGCCAUGCCGCGUGUGUGAUGAAGGCCCUAGGGUCGUAAAGCACUUUCGCCAGAGAUGAUAAUGACAGUAUCUGGUAAAGAAACCCCGGCUAACUCCGUGCCAGCAGCCGCGGUAAUACGGAGGGGGUUAGCGUUGUUCGGAAUUACUGGGCGUAAAGCGCACGUAGGCGGAUUAGUAAGUUAGAGGUGAAAUCCCAGGGCUCAACCCUGGAACUGCCUUUAAUACUGCUAGUCUUGAGUUCGAGAGAGGUAAGUGGAAUUCCGAGUGUAGAGGUGAAAUUCGUA
rnacentral:rRNA from 1 species